rnacentral:rRNA from 1 species
GACGAACGCUGGCGGCGUGCUUAACACAUGCAAGUCGAACGGAAAGACCCUGCUUUUGUGGCGUGCUCGAGUGGCGAACGGGUGAGUAACACGUGAGUAUCCUGCCCUUGACUGUGGGAUAACUUCAGGAAAAUGGGGCUAAUAUCGGGUAUGAGCUCCUGCUGCAUGGUGGUGGUUGGUAAGUGUCGGCGGUUCGGGAUGGUCUCGCUGGUUAUCAGCUGGUUGGGGGGGUAGUGGCUUACAAAGGGUUGGACGGGUAGCCGGCCUGGGAGGGUGGCCGGCACCAUUGGGACUGGGGUAGGGCCCAGACGCCUACGGGCGGCAACGGUGGGGAAUAUUGCACAAUGGGCGGAAGCCUGAUGCGGCAACGCCGGGUGCGGAAUGCCGGCUUUCGGGUUGUAAACCGCUUUCGCAGGUGCCGAGGCGUGAGUGACGGUACUGGGUAAAGAAGCACCGGCUAACUACGUG